ensembl:lncRNA
UUCAAGCUGAGUUCUGAUGACUCUAAAAACCAUCACAUGUGAUCUGCAAUAUUUCCAUACUCAUCAAACCACUAAGUGACACAUACCUGUGCGAAGGAGUCCAGUCCGUGUCAUCUAUUACACAAACCUCCUCAUCUCCAAUCUAAUCCAGAUCUUCAUAACAAUUGUUGAGGUAUUAAGAAUAAGAAGUAGCAUAGCUCAUCUUAUUUACUACUCGUGUGUGAUGGCCAGUCUACACUUCAAGUUGUGCAUCGCUCUGGAAAGGUAUUUUUUCAUCGCAUUUCCGCUGUUGAAGUGCAUCAGGCAACCAAAAGGUUCUGUGCUGGUCUUUGUUUUGGUCUGGGUCCUUUGUUUUGUUAGUGCUGCUCUUGCUGUAACCAUAGAAGACUGUUCACGCUUAAUCAUUCAUGCCUUCUUCCCUGCCCCCGUGUUAAUCUUCUGUUUAGCUGGAACUAUCAAAGCCCUGCCUGCUGCCACAUCAGUCUCCACUGAGGAAAAGCGAAGAAUUGUGGGAACUUUGGUUUUGUUGCUAUUUAACUACUUUCUGAUAAACCUACCUGCAGUUACUCUAUCAAUAUAUCUAUCUGGCA